UAUGAACUUCGUUUGAUCCUAAGAUUUCUCUCUGUCCUAUUCUCUGAAUUUCACUCCCACUAAACUUUCCGAUGCAAUUCACUUCGUUGUUCUUCUGAUCGAUCAAUUCGGAGGAAUUGGUUAAGGAAGCAGGUUUUGUUUCAGAGACUGCGUUUUGUUUUCUGUUUUGACAGUGAAUUUUGCGUACUGAUUACGGACUUCAAUUGUUGAGGUUCUGUUAUAUGCAAGCUACACCACUCUGGAUGAUUUUUUUUUUUUUUUUUAAUUUUAUCGUGUGAAAUUGUUAAUUCUCUCAAAUUAUGUUGUAGAUUGAUGAUUUUGAGAAAAUGAAGUGAUUAAUGAGUCUAUUUUUCGGAGAACUUCUUGUUUGCUACCACGAAUUUCCUUCUAGCCUUUCAAACAUAUGAUAUCUAACCUGUUCUUCCUUAUAUGGAUCUUGCUCUGGUGGUUCUCCGAUUUCUGGAAUAGUUGUGCUUGUUAUGAUUCCUGGUGAUAUUUUUGUUCAUAAUCGAGCCAUUGAAUUUCUCCGCUUACUGAUUUCGGCAAACCAAAAUCUCAGGAAAAUGAGGGGAGAUUUUGGUUUGGAUUUUCUAAUUAGGGCGUACUGUUGAUUCUGUAGCUCAUAUUCAUACAUGAUUUUAUUCUCAUGCAUCCUCCGAAUCAAAUUCUUCUAAGCAGAUGGACCUGCACUCAUCUUAUAAUGAAAAUGACAAGGCUGCUGAUGGAUGGAACAGCGGUAAGAAGAUGGGAAAAUCACGCCGACGGGAACACCCUCAGGAGGAGGAAUUACAAAAGUUCAAGAAGGAAUCUGAAGCAUGGCAAGCUGCAAGGUUUAGGGAGUGUUCAAGGGUUAUUGAAGUUAGUAGAGCAUUAAUAGACUGUCUCUCUUGCUCAGGAAAACCUUGUCAAGAAGAAGAUUGCCAACUGUUGUGAUGAACUCUGGGGAGCGCUACGAACUACCUUAGAAGACAGGUGAAUCAACUUGAUUCGGGUGAUAUUGAGGACAAAGUGGAACAGCAGCCUUGUGAGUCUGAAGUCACAAAACUUGAAGAUUCAGUAGAAGCUUACAUACGAGACCUUCUUACUUGUGAGAUCCCACAUCGGUUGGAGAGGGAAACGAAACAUUCUUUAUGAGGGUGUGGAAACCUCUCCCUAGCAGCACGUUUUAAAAUCUCAAGGGGAAGCCCGGAAAGGAAAGGCCAAAGAGGAUAAUAUCCGUUAGCCGUGGGCUUGGGCCAUUACAUUACGGUAUGUAUCUUGGAUCAACUAAGAACAACUUUUUCGUGAAAUAGCGCAGCUACGAAUCCUAUCAGCAAUGAGAUUUUUGAGGAAGUGGAAGAAGCUUACAGAAAAUCAGAGACAAAAAAUGAAAUUAUCGGGAAGGAGUAGAAUGAUAUUAGUGUAGAUCACAAAAUAUUAUUUGAUCUUCUGAAUGGAGCACUUACGACUGUACUUGCACCAUGUUUAACAUUGUGUGGAUUUAGAAGAAAAGUUAUUAACUCCUCUUUGCCACCGCUGCCUUUGUUUGAAAAAAAAUCUAUUGGAUUCUGUAUGGGACAUCAUCCGCAAGUUAUGCACUCUCCAACUGAUAGAUUUAAAUUCAACACCGUGGUCAUCAUUAAUGGAUGAUGAGGUUUACACAACUGAAGGGAGGUUGAAGGUCUGAUCAUCAAGGAUUUGAUUGAAGGAGUUGUGAAGGAUUUG